rnacentral:rRNA from 1 species
UACGUAGGGUGCAAGCGUUAAUCGGAAUUACUGGGCGUAAAGCGUGCGCAGGCGGUUUUGUAAGUCUGUCGUGAAAUCCCCGGGCUCAACCUGGGAAUUGCGAUGGAGACUGCAAGGCUAGAAUCUGGCAGAGGGGGGGUAGAAUUCCACGUGUAGCAGUGAAAUGCGUAGAGAUGUGGAGGAACACCGAUGGCGAAGGCAGCCCCCCUGGGUCAAGAUUGACGCUCAUGCACGAAAGCGUGGGGAGCAAACGAG